GACGAACGCUGGCGGCGUGCUUAACACAUGCAAGUCGAACGAUGACGACCGAGCUUGCUCGGUCUGAUUAGUGGCGAACGGGUGAGUAACACGUGAGCAACCUGCCCUUCACUCUGGGAUAACCUCGGGAAAUCGGGGCUAAUACCGGAUAUGAGCUCCUGUCGCAUGGCGGGUGCUGGAAAGUUUUUCGGUGAAGGAUGGGCUCGCGGCCUAUCAGUUUGUUGGUGAGGUAGUGGCUCACCAAGGCGAUGACGGGUAGCCGGCCUGAGAGGGCGACCGGCCACACUGGGACUGAGACACGGCCCAGACUCCUACGGGAGGCAGCAGUGGGGAAUAUUGCACAAUGGGCGAAAGCCUGAUGCAGCGACGCCGCGUGAGGGAUGACGGCCUUCGGGUUGUAAACCUCUUUCAGCAGGGAAGAAGCGAAAGUGACGGUACCUGCAGAAGAAGCGCCGGCUAACUACGUG
rnacentral:rRNA from 1 species